rnacentral:siRNA from 1 species
UGAUUACCUGAUACCGGGGGACAA